rnacentral:rRNA from 1 species
CGGCGGACGGGUGAGUAACGCGUGGGUGACCUGCCCCAUACCGGGGGAUAACAGCUGGAAACGGCUGCUAAUACCGCAUAAGCGCACAGAGCUGCAUGGCUCAGUGUGAAAAACUCCGGUGGUAUGGGAUGGGCCCGCGUCUGAUUAGGCAGUUGGCGGGGUAACGGCCCACCAAACCGACGAUCAGUAGCCGGCCUGAGAGGGCGACCGGCCACGUUGGGACUGAGACACGGCCCAA